CUGCUCAAUGAAUAUUAAAUAGCCGCAGAUAUCUGUGCUAAGGUAGCAUAAUCAUUUGUUUUUUAAUUUAAUACUCGAAUGAAAGGAGUUACAUUUAAUGUUUCUUAGAUUUAUUUAUAUCUAACUUUUAUUAAAUAUAAAAAUAAACUUUUAUAAUAUAUAGACGACAAGACCCUAUUGAACUUUACAUAUGAUUUAGCUGGGGCAGCUUAUUAAAAAAAAUUUUAAUCCAAAACCUUAUUAAUUGACCUAAUAAAAUUAAUUAUUUAAUCAAGCCGCCAUAGGGAUAACAGCGCUAUCUUUUUUUAAAGUUCUUAUUUAAAAGCAAAAUUACGACCUCGAUGUUGAAUUAUUAAUCUUUUAAAUACAAAAAUUA
rnacentral:rRNA from 1 species